UACAGAGGUCUCAAGCGUUGUUCGGAUUCAUUGGGCGUAAAGGGUGCGUAGGUGGCGCCGUAAGUCAGGUGUGAAAUUUCGGAGCUUAACUCCGAAACUGCAUUUGAUACUGCGGUGCUUGAGGACUGGAGAGGAGACUGGAAUUUACGGUGUAGCAGUGAAAUGCGUAGAGAUCGUAAGGAAGACCAGUGGCGAAGGCGGUUCUCUGGGCCUUACCUGACGCUGAGGAGCGAAAGCGUGGGGAGCGAACAGG
rnacentral:rRNA from 1 species